CUGCUUAUCUCUAGCCUAAGUCUUAAAGAUUAAGAGCCUGUGAACAGAAUAUCGGCAGAAAUAUGGACAAUAAAGGCCUUUCUGAUGAGGUCUCAGAUGGAAAUGAGGAAUAUCUUAUUAGAAACUGAAGAUUGGCUAUGUGGAUGCUGGAAGAUGGGGAAAACUUGUUUCAAGCUGAACAUUAUCCUUGCCAUUAACUUGCCUAAAGAGGCUGGAUUCAUCUGGGCAGUUUUCACUGCUCCAAGUUAGGCACCGUAUUCCACAAGGUGCAAGUAGCAUGGAAGAGAAAAGCAAAGUUCAUAGACAGAACUUCCAAGAACAAAGAUCUCUGAAUUGGGAUGAAAUUCUAACUGCCAGAUUUGCUCUCUGUACCUCUCUUGAUAUGUUUUCUACUUACUAUGGAGUGACAGUUGUUGUGGAUGGGAGGAUUGAAAAUGGGAAGAACUAAUCAAAGAUAUAAUGUCGUGGAAAGGACUGAGAAGCUACACAAACCUGUGUCAUAUUAUUCUUUUUCUUGGAGCUCAGCAUGAGAGCAGGCAAUAACAGGAGAAUAACUUCAAAAAAAUCUUUAACCCAGACUCAUUGUCUUCAUUCCUAGGACUUACAGAGACCAAAGCUCCUGAAGUACCAUCAUUCUGCCAUGGAUACUGUGAAGUGGUACCACCAUAAAUCCAUGUCCUCUAACGUCAGUGGACUGUCAAACCUAGUCAGAGAUGGGUGGAGGUGAUCCGUAACAUUCCCUACAAAUUUUGGUGCCCAACAUGGGGCAUCCUUCACUGGCUGGAACACUGCUUGCUCGAAACUGCUGCACCUGGAAUCCUGGCCCUCUGACAAAAGGCCAGC